AUUGAACGCUGGCGGCAGGCUUAACACAUGCAAGUCGAGCGGAGAUGAGGUGCUUGCACCUUAUCUUAGCGGCGGACGGGUGAGUAAUGCUUAGGAAUCUGCCUAUUAGUGGGGGACAACAUUCCGAAAGGAAUGCUAAUACCGCAUACGUCCUACGGGAGAAAGCAGGGGAUCUUCGGACCUUGCGCUAAUAGAUGAGCCUAAGUCGGGUUAGCUGGUUGGUGGGGUAAAGGCCUACCAAGGCGACGAUCUGUAGCGGGUCUGAGAGGAUGAUCCGCCACACUGGGACUGAGACACGGCCCAGACUCCUACGGGAGGCAGCAGUGGGGAAUAUUGGACAAUGGGGGGAACCCUGAUCCAGCCAUGCCGCGUGUGUGAAGAAGGCCUUAUGGUUGUAAAGCACUUUAAGCGAGGAGGAGGCUACUGAGAUUAAUACUCUUGGAUAGUGGACGUUACUCGCAGAAUAAGCACCGGCUAACUCUGUGCCAGCCGCCGCAGUAAAAC
rnacentral:rRNA from 1 species